rnacentral:rRNA from 1 species
GACGAACGCUGGCGGCGUGCUUAACACAUGCAAGUCGAACGGAAAGGCCUCUUUCGGGGGGUACUCGAGUGGCGAACGGGUGAGUAACACGUGAGUAACCUGCCCUUGACUUUGAGAUAACUUCAGGAAACUGGGGCUAAUACCGGAUAGGAGCUCCUGCUGCAUGGUGGGGGUUGGAAAGUUUCGGCGGUUGGGGAUGGACUCGCGGCUUAUCAGCUUGUUGGUGGGGUAGUGGCUUACCAAGGCUUUGACGGGUAGCCGGCCUGAGAGGGUGACCGGCCACAGUGGGACUGAGAUACGGCCCAGACUCCUACGGGAGGCAGCAGUGGGGAAUAUUGCACAAGGGGUGGAAGCCUGAUGCAGCAACGCCGUGUGCGGGAUGACGGCCUUCGGGUUGUAAACCGCUUUCGCUCAUGACGAAGCUUUGUGUGACGGUAGUGGGUAAAGAAGCACCGGCUAACUACGUG